AGGGAAUCUUCCACAAUGGACGGACGUCUGAUGGAGCAACGCAGCGAGAGUGAAGAAGGUUUUCGGAUCGUAAAGAUCUGUUGUUGGAGAAGAGCGGAUUUGCUUGUAACUGAUCAGGUAGUGACGGUGUCCAACCAGAAAGCCACGGCUAACUACGUGCCAGCAGCCGCGGUAAUACGUAGGUGGCAAGCGUUGUCCGGAUUUAUUGGGCGUAAAGCGAGCGCAGGCGGUUUUUUAAGUCUGAUGUGAAAGCCUUCGGCUCAACCGAAGAAGUGCAUCGGAAACUGGGAAACUUGAGUGCAGAAGAGGACAGUGGAACUCCAUGUGUAGCGGUGAAAUGCGUAGAUAUAUGGAAGAACACCAGUGGCGAAGGCGGCUGUCUGGUCUGUAACUGACGCUGAGGCUCGAAAGCAUGGGUAGCGAACA
rnacentral:rRNA from 1 species